UACAGAGGGUGCGAGCGUUAAUCGGAAUUACUGGGCGUAAAGCGCACGUAGUCGGCUUUGCAAGUCGGUUGUGAAAUCCCCGGGCUCAACCUGGGAACUGCAUCCGAGACUGCAUUGCUAGAGUAUGGGAGAGGAAAGCGGAAUUUCUGGUGUAGCAGUGAAAUGCGUAGAUAUGCGGAGGAACACCGAUGGCGAAGGCAAUCCCCUGGGCCUGCACUGACGCUCAUGCACGAAAGCGUGGGGAGCAAACAGG
rnacentral:rRNA from 1 species